rnacentral:rRNA from 1 species
AUGCCUGUUAUUUCUAUUAAAAUAGGAGAUCAUUGUUAUCAUGGCUUAUGUGAUAUGGGUGCCGGUGCUAGUGCAAUACCUAUUAGCAUAUAUAGAGAAAUUAUGCAUGAUAUUGCACCUGUUGAGUUAGAAGAUAUUGAUGUCACAAUUAAACUUGCCAAUAGAGAUACUAUUUCACCAAUGGGAAUUGUUAGAGAUGUUGAAGUCUUGUGUGGGAAAACUAAAUAUCCUGCUGAUUUUCUUGUUCUUGGUUCCCCACAAGAUAGCUUUUGUCCCAUUAUAUUUGGUAGAACCUUCCUGAACACUGUUAAUGCUACCAUAGAUUGCAAAAGGGAUGUUGUUACUAUCCGUUUAGAUGAUAUGACUCAUGAAUUUAAUUUCUCUAAAUUUAGUAGACAACACCGUGAAGAAGAAUUACCUAGUAAGUAUGAAAUUAUUGGUCUUGCUUCUAUUGCCGUACCUCCUAGUGAUCCUUUAGAACAAUAUUUGCUAGACCAUGAGAAUGAUAUGUUUAUGAAUGAAAGAAGGGAAAUAGAUGAAGUAUUCUUUAAAUAG